rnacentral:pre_miRNA from 1 species
AACUUACUCCCUCCAUCCGGAAAUACUUGUUGAAGAAAUGGAUAAAAAUGAAUGUAUUUAGAACUAAGAUAUGUCUAGAUACAUCCAUUCUUCCGACAAGUAUUUCCGGACGGAGGGAGUAUAAU